UACGUAGGUGGCAAGCGUUAUCCGGAUUUACUGGGUGUAAAGGGCGUGUAGGCGGGACUGCAAGUCAGAUGUGAAAGCCUUCGGCUCAACCGGAGAAUUGCAUCAGAAACUGUUGAACUUGAGUGCAGAAGAGGAGAGUGGAACUCCAUGUGUAGCGGUGGAAUGCGUAGAUAUAUGGAAGAACACCAGUGGCGAAGGCGGCUCUCUGGUCUGCAACUGACGCUGAGGCUCGAAAGCAUGGGUAGCGAACAGG
rnacentral:rRNA from 1 species